ensembl:miRNA
CAGGAAUCUCUGCUCCUGAUUGUCCAAACGCAAUUCUUGUGCAAUGGAAUCAUACAAACCAAGAAUUGUGUCUGGACAUCUGUGGCAGAGAUUUCA